CCUACGGGUGGCAGCAGUCGAGAAUCAUUCACAAUGGGGGAAACCCUGAUGGUGCGACGCCGCGUGGGGGAAUGAAGGUCUUCGGAUUGUAAACCUCUGUCAUGUGGGAGCAAAUUAAAAAGAUAGUACCACAAGAGGAAGAGACGGCUAACUCUGUGCCAGCAGCCGCGGUAAUACAGAGGUCUCAAGCGUUGUUCGGAAGCACUGGGCGUAAAGGGUGCGUAGGCUGUUUCGUAAGUCGGGUGUGAAAGGCGCGGGCUCAACCCGCGGACGGCACAUGAUACUGGGAGACUUGAGUAAAGGAGAGGGAGGCGGAAUUCGCGGUGUAGCAGUGAAAUGCGUAGAUAUCAAGAGGAACACUCAUGGCGAAGGCAGGUUCCUGGACAUUAACUGACGCUGAGGCACGAAGGCCAGGGGAGCGAAAGGGAUUAGAUACCCGAGUAGUC
rnacentral:rRNA from 1 species